ACCAGACUCCUACGGGAGGCAGCAGUGGGGGAUAUUGCACAAUGGGGGGAACCCUGAUGCAGCGACGCCGCGUGGGUGAAGAAGCGCCUCGGCGCGUAAAGCCCUGUCAGCAGGGAAGAAAAUGACGGUACCUGAAGAAGAAGCCCCGGCUAACUACGUGCCAGCAGCCGCGGUAAUACGUAGGGGGCAAGCGUUAUCCGGAUUUACUGGGUGUAAAGGGGGCGCAGACGGCGAUGCAAGCCAGGAGUGAAAGCCCGGGGCCCAACCCCGGGACUGCUCUUGGAACUGCGUGGCUGGAGUGCAGGAGGGGCAGGCGGAAUUCCUAGUGUAGCGGUGAAAUGCGUAGAUAUUAGGAGGAACACCAGUGGCGAAGGCGGCCUGCUGGACUGCAACUGACGUUGAGGCUCGAAGGCGUGGGGAGCAAACAGGAUUAGAUACCCCGGUAAG
rnacentral:rRNA from 1 species